rnacentral:rRNA from 1 species
CACGUAGGGCGCAAGCGUUGUCCGGAAUCAUUGGGCGUAAAGCGCGUGUAGGCGGCUCGGUAAGUCCGCUCUGAAAGCCCGGGGCUCAACCCCGGGAGGCGGGUGGAUACUGCUGAGCUCAAGUCCGGAAGAGGAGUGUGGAAUUCCUGGUGUAGCGGUGAAAUGCGCAGAUAUCAGGAGGAACACCAAUGGCGAAGGCAGCACUCUGGGACGGUACUGACGCUGAGACACGAAAGCUAGGGGAGCGAACGGG